rnacentral:lncRNA from 1 species
UGCCCUAAGAUUUUGAAUUGUAAAACUUUAAAUUUGAGAGUUUAAAGACUUGUUAAAAAGCUAAAAUUCUCAAAAUUGAAGGAUUUGAAGUCUUGUUUGAGAUGUUCUAGGACCUAGUAGUCAUCUCUGUGAAGUCUCCAUUAACCGUUUGAAAUGGGCCGAUUUUGGAUUUGCUUUAUCAGUCAGUAUGUUCCAAGAUUAUUGAUACAUUCGAUAAAUACUUCAUGCCAUAUGUUUUUUUUUUUUUGUUAAAGGGUUUACUUCAUGCCAUAUGUAAUAUAUCGUUGUAUGUGAAUAUAAUUAACAUAUAUGUAGUUUGCCUCAACGAGAAUCGAUUGGAAGAUAUAUGAAUUCUUAUUCUGAAUUUGACUAUUUUAGAUUUUUAUUAUAUUUGAAAGAUUAAUAUUUUAGAAUAUAAUUAACACAUAUGUUUUUUAAACUAAAACAUAAAUUAAAAUGUAAGAAUAUGAGUGGAGAAACUUUAUAAGUAAAACAAAAAAAAUGUAUUAAUUUUCUUAAUGACUAAAAGAGCUUAAAACAUCAAUCCGUAUAAUUCAUUUACUGAGGAGUGAUUACAGAAAUGACACAUCGAUGCACAUUAUUUUUUUAACUUCGAC